ACUCUGAUGAACUUCAGUCUCUCUUUAUUGCAACACUGCAAGUUCAAUAAAUAUAAAGUACCACAGUCUGGAAUAUAUGAGCAACGACAGACAACAUUCAUCACUCCAGCUGUUUCUGGCCUGCAUCCUUCAUUCCUCAAUAUUCUGUUAAACUACAACUACUAUCAUCCCAGGCUCUGAGUGUCAUCAGGACGUGUUAAGCUGAAGGCCGGUAUGGUGCCCAUCCCUGAAAUAAAGACUACAUUUCAGCAAAUGUUAAAGUGACGCCCAGCAAAGAGCAUAAAAAGGAAUGGAGAGGCGUUUUGUUAGUAAGGAUGAUGGACAUUGUGGCAUAUUAAUUAUCCUCUGCAUUCCGUCGCACACUAAACCAAUUAGAGUACAGAAUAUCCAUUUCAGUCUUCCACUGUACUCACUCCCCCACAGUCACUUCAAUUUGCAAUGCUGAGUAUUUCAAUGCACCAGAAACACGCCACCAUUCACAAUGUGUAAGAGAAAUAGAAUUGAGAUUUGGAAUAUUUGUUCUCUUUGUUUGAUUAGAAAGCACCUACAUCAUGCAAAGUUGGAGGUCUUUAUUUCCCUGUGAACAAGCUGCCUCUAAAAGCAGGUUAUUACACAUAACAUGAAUAAAAAAAAAAAAGUCUUUUAUGCUUCGCAAUGUCAAAGGGCUUUAACAUCACACUGUUUGCAAGAAUUGUUCCAAAGUGCAUGUAAUGUUUGUGAUUUCGGGUCAUUUGAAAUAAUGGCAGUGUAGACUUCCACUCUUCCAAUUAGCUUUGAAGUGUAUGAACUUUAAACAGGCUUGGAUUAUUGAAAAGGGAACUAAAAACAUAUUAUAAGAUACACGUUGGUGCUAUUGUAUGGCUUUAAAUGCCCCAAACAUGUAAGGAACUCAUUUUUUGCAGCAUGAAGAAUGCAUUUUAUUUUGCAUCUUUUUUCAUUCUCAGGAGGCAUUGCAGAUAUACAUGGGCAUGAAAAGAUAUCAGCUGCUGUAAUGCAAAUGCUAGCACUUUAUCACAACAAAGUUUGCUUCAUCUAUAACUCCAUAUCAGGAGCAAAUGCUGAGGCUCAGCUUCUGUAUCCAACCUGGCAGAAUCAACAUCUAUCAUCUACUUAUUCAGAUAUUUAUUUCAAAAUGAUCUGCUAGACUUUGUAUGCAAAGCAGCUAAACAGUUAUUAAUAUUACUUUCUUCCUUCCUAAUGGAUCUGCAUAUCACGUUAAAGUACUAUAAUUUGUGAUGGGGCAUCCUUCUUAUAAAAAGCUGAAAGGAAAUAUAUUUAUUGACAGGUAUGGCAUGCUUACAGAUUAUUUUUCUGAUAUGUUCUAUAAAAUAUAUAAAGCACAUGGCUAUAAAUAUAUGUCACUUGGCAUUUUGUUUAUUCUUUACGCUCGAAUGAAGCAGCUCCCCCUGUGGCACAAUUAACUUGAAAAUGGUAGAAUUCUUCCCACAGUUUUACAUGCAAUAGUCACUGCUUUACUUGGCAAGAAAAGCCUAGUAUAAUGUUUAUGGUAUUUAAACAUCAAAUUCAUCAUCUUAAAGGAACA